CCGAACCGUCGACAUGAGCUGUUGCUGGCCCUCGAAAGGGGGCACGUGCACGCUCUGUUUACACAUCCACUCACACCUGUGCACCCUCUGUAGUUCUGUGGCCUUGGGGACCUCGUCCCCUUGCCGUGGUCCUACGUCUUUACACACACACCGUAACAAAGUCUCAUGGAAUGUAUGCCGCGUUUAACGCAAUACAAUA
rnacentral:misc_RNA from 1 species